rnacentral:rRNA from 1 species
GACGUAGGGCGCAAGCGUUGUCCGGAUUUAUUGGGCGUAAAGAGCUCGUAGGCGGCUUGUCGCGUCGACCGUGAAAACCCGCAGCUCAACUGCGGGCUUGCGGUCGAUACGGGCAGGCUCGAGUUCGGUAGGGGAGACUGGAAUUCCUGGUGUAGCGGUGAAAUGCGCAGAUAUCAGGAGGAACACCGGUGGCGAAGGCGGGUCUCUGGGCAGUAACUGACGCUGAGAAGCGAAAGCGUGGGGAGCGAACAGG